AGGCUUGUGUAGGACCUCCAACUGUCGGGGGUGGAUUGGUUCAUCCCCUCUACCAGCAUGGCGCUAGUGGUGAUCGAGCUCUUUUGUCGCAGUGGCCUUAUCUCAGUAAACUCAGCCACUUCAUGAAGAGUUCAAACUAACCUGAUUUGAACUUCUGCUGUGACGGGUUAGCACCUGUUAGUAGUUAACUUACACAACCACCUCCUCACAUAUUCACAUGCAUGUACAAUCCCACUCCGCGCCCGUGUAGUUCUAAUGAUUCCUCCAUAUAACCCUUGUGAUUCUGCUCUGCACAUAUGUAGUCUCUAACAAUUUCUCUGUGUAAUCUCUAAUGUUCUUCUACUCUGCUCACUUCUCUAUAAGAAUCUCUUUAUAUAAUCUUUCUCUCAAUUUCUUUUCUCUUUCUUUUCUUAAUCAAUUUAUAAACUGUAUUAGAAUAGUGCUAC
rnacentral:sRNA from 1 species